rnacentral:tRNA from 1 species
GCAAAUAUAAUUUAGUUGGUAAAAUAUAUGUUUUCCACACAUAGUUCUUCGGUUCGAGUCCGAAUAUUUGUA